rnacentral:tRNA from 1 species
GUGCUCUUAGUUUAGUUUGGUAGAACGUAGGUCUCCAAAACCUGAUGUCGUAGGUUCAAAUCCUAUAGAGCGUG